GUGCAGCCUGGAGCUUCCAGUCCGCGAGUGUGAGGAACGGACUAGAUGGGUCCAGCAGUGCUGGGUCAAAGCCAGGAGGGGGCAGCCGGAAGCGCGCACAUGCUCUGGACUCGUGCACCCGCCGAAACGGGUGCGCACCGGGCGCGCGGGGGUGAGAGAACCAGGAGCCGCCGCGGCAGCUCAGGCUCCACUGCAACAUCACGGUGAGGCGCCCAGCGGCGGCUUCACACGGCAGGGCGAGGGCGGAGAGGAAGAGCCCGGAGUCCCGGGACAAAGGGGAACCUGCCCAGGAGAGGCCCCGGUUCCCCGGGCCGGUCAGGUUUUCCUUGUUCCCGCAUGUUCAGCCAAUCGUGUUUAAGGAGAAACUAACAAUGAAAACGGGCUUGUUGAUGGAGGAAAAGUUGGAAUGCAGCCUCUGGUGCUGUUUGAGCGAUCCCUCUAUCCCGGGUCGCUGCUGUGUUCUGGAAAGGCACAUUGUACCCUGGAUGCAGCAGAUGGAGUCUUGCUCUGUCACCAGGCUGGAGUGCAGUGGCG
ensembl:lncRNA UBE2Q2P1 UBE2Q2 pseudogene 1